GAAGAAUAAGAGGAAGCUUAGCAUUGAUUGAAACUGGUUGUGAUAUUUUUCGUAGAUCUGCAGAGGCUUCUGCAUAGUCUGAGAUAUUACGUGACGUCACAAUAAAAUAAAUGUCACGUGCGAAAAUAAACUGUUACGUGCAACCUGUUGCGAGUUAUGCAGAUUGUAACGUGUAAUAAUGCCAUAAGCUCUUGGAUAUACUCAAGAUUCACCGAAGCGUGGCAGCGCGCUAAAUCGAACAAAGAUGAUUCGCGCGUUCUUUUCCGUUGCGUUGAUUACACCUGUUUUGUGUUUCCCGGUGCCGGCUAUUAAUACUAUGACGUAACGCAAAAUACCGCACGUGCAAUUCGAGAUGAGGCACACUGAGGAAUUGAGACCUGACCUUUGUCUUCGAGGAAUAGCGUCAUAAAUCGAAAAUUGAUAACUAGUAACGUCACGAACCCGGAUAAUCGUGUCCUGUUGGUGAUUAAGUCCUCGUCUUAUUAGAAUCGUGUUUAAACGUUUAUCGUGUUUAUAUAAUUUUUCAAGAGUUUAUCUUUACUGUACAUUGAGUGGAAAAAUAAGAGUAAAAAUUGGAAUAUGGAAAUUACAUGAAAAUUAUAAUAUAAAAAAA